AUCACUUCCGUUCAGUAGCGGAAGCAGGAAGUAGCGCAAACAACAUGGGGACUGGGAUUGACAAGAAGCCGGCGAUUUCUUUACCCAAACACUCCUACUGGUUCGACUUUUGGGUUUUUCUGUUGUUCGACAUCGGCUUUUUUCUCUUCGUGUACUUUGUUAUUCCAUAAACGAAAUCCGGGUGUUACGGAAGGACCAGAGAGUGUAGCUCACCUGCACGAGAUGAAGAGAUGAUGGAUUUCUCAUGGCUGGGUCCUGCAGCUGUGGCUUCAGCCGAUCUCCUCCUGCACACCCGUCACCCGAACACUGAAAGUGCACCACCACGUCCCCGCCGAGUCCAAGUCUCCUCGAGUCCAACCCUCACAGAGUCCAACGCACUUUAAAACAUAGCGCUAACAUUCCAGUCCAGGCCCUGAUCCCUCGUACAGAACCCCGAUUAACACGAAAUAAAACCGGCGAAGCGAUUUUUGUAUAUUCGACCCGGUAAUAAUCAGAAUAUCUGCGUGUGUGUGUGUGUGUGAAUGAGAAGUAAAUAAAAUUCACUAGGCUAUUUUUCAA